rnacentral:misc_RNA from 1 species
CAAGCACUGCGACAGCGGUGA